rnacentral:rRNA from 1 species
GCCAGGAGCCAUAUCACUCUGCAACUCACAACUGGUAGCCCAUUGAAGCUCAGCAGGUGUGAGCCUGGUCUGUACCUGGAUGGGUGACCUGCUGGGAAAAACUUAAGGUUGCUGCUGGAA